AAAGGAUUAAUGCGGUAGGUGCAUACCUUGCUGAAAUUUGCAUGCUUCCAUUGUGGGAAAGUGGGAAACAAAGGGAAAAAUCAUACCCUGAUGUGCUCUCCAAGUAGAGCUGUAUGCUGUGAUUCACUGAAGACAGCCAUGGAGGUUACAAAACAGAAAUUAAGAGACAAUAUAAAUUACGUGAGGUUGUUCUAGACAAUUAGACAACUCGUUGGUCCAUUUACAGUGCUGCUCGUAGCUUUAUAUCAAAUCUGAUGAAAGAGUGACAAAUUUCAAGCGAGGAAAUUUUUCAUUCUCUCCUCUCCUUAGGAGAGCCGUACUUUGUUUAGAGAUACCUUAAUGCGUAUCCUGAGCAUUUUAAUAAGAAACUAUUGCAUGCCACCGGUUUGUGCAAACAGUAGUUGUAUAAUUACAGGGGAUGAAUUAAUCUUCCAGGCGUCCAUUUGUGUUACUCAGAUCAGGCAGGGUUUAUUUGCAAAGGGCUGACCCUGCUUCCUGGCAGGUUCGCCCGGAGGUGGCGUGCCAGAUUCCCUCCAGUGGAUGCAGGAGGGUUCAGCUGCCACAUCCCAGGGACCAAGGGACAGGCACAUGGCAGGGGCUGCCGCCUGGGGCAACGCGGGGCAGUGACUGUGACAGCAGCAGCACCACAGCCUCCUCCAGAGAUUCUUUAGUAGGCAUUGAAGGCUGGUAGGAAACAAGUAUUCUCAAGCUUGGGUCUACAUUCUUCUGAUGCAAACAGAGAAUGAAAAUGUGUAUUUGCCUUGUCCUGGGCUCUUCAAGUAAUUCAGGCAACCUGGCUGAAUGUGCUGGAGACAGUGCUGACGUUACAGUUAUUUCAGGAAGAAGUCAAUGCUGUUCCAGCAGAGCAAACACUGGAUGGGCUCUUCACAAACAGUGGCUCCCACCUGCCAUUCCCAUCUCCCGACAUGACCAUCUCCAUGGAGGAUGUUGCCUUGGGGAUGAGCCAGGUUCAUCCUGCAGCUCCCCAGUAGCACUGUGCCAGAUCUGCCCCAUCCCUCUGAGCCACAGCAGGCCCUGAGAUCUGCUGGAAGCACUGGAGCAAAAGUGAAUGGAGCUGCUGUUCUGUGAUGUCUUGCACAUCAAAGCAAUUUUUUUGAAUCUGCAUUAACCUCUUUGAUAAAGACAACACUGUGAGGAAUUCACCAACUACAGAGAACCUGCGGGUCCGCACAUCCACCCGGAGCUUGCUUUGACAGCGGUGCAUGAGUUGCUAUUGAAGUGAUGGUUUUGUUUCCAUUAUCAAAUAAAC
rnacentral:lncRNA from 1 species